rnacentral:rRNA from 3 species
ACGGGUGAGUAACGCGUGGGAAUCUACCGAGCCCUGCGGAAUAGCUCCGGGAAACUGGAAUUAAUACCGCAUACGCCCUACGGGGGAAAGAUUUAUCGGGGUUUGAUGAGCCCGCGUUGGAUUAGCUAGUUGGUGGGGUAAAGGCCUACCAAGGCGACGAUCCAUAGCUGGUCUGAGAGGAUGAUCAGCCACAUUGGGACUGAGACACGGCCCAAACUCCUACGGGAGGCAGCAGUGGGGAAUAUUGGACAAUGGGCGCAAGCCUGAUCCAGCCAUGCCGCGUGAGUGAUGAAGGCCCUAGGGUUGUAAAGCUCUUUCAACGGUGAAGAUAAUGACGGUAACCGUAGAAGAAGCCCCGGCUAACUUCGUGCCAGCAGCCGCGGUAAUACGAAGGGGGCUAGCGUUGUUCGGAAUUACUGGGCGUAAAGCGCACGUAGGCGGAUAUUUAAGUCAGGGGUGAAAUCCCGGGGCUCAACCUCGGAACUGCCUUUGAUACUGGGUAUCUUGAGUAUGGAAGAGGUAAGUGGAAUUGCGAGUGUAGAGGUGAAAUUCGUAGA